rnacentral:rRNA from 1 species
UAGGGAAUCUUCCACAAUGGACGCAAGUCUGAUGGAGCAACGCUUCGUGAGUGAAGAAGGUUUUCGGACCGUAAAGCUCUGUUGUUGGUGAAGAAGGAUAGAGGUAGUAACUGGCCUUUAUUUGACGGUAAUCAACCAGAAAGUCACGGCUAACUACGUGCCAGCAGCCGCGGUAAUACGUAGGUGGCAAGCGUUGUCCGGAUUUAUUGGGCGUAAAGCGAGCGCAGGCGGAAGAAUAAGUCUGAUGUGAAAGCCCUCGGCUUAACCGAGGAAUUGCAUCGGAAACUGUUUUUCUUGAGUGCAGAAGAGGAGAGUAGAACUCCAUGUGUAGCGGUGGAAUGCGUAGAUAUAUGGAAGAAUACCAGUGGCGAAGGCGGCUCUCUGGUCUGCAACUGACGCUGAGGCUCGAAAAGCAUGGGUAGCGAACAGGAUUAGAUACCCUGGUAGUCCAUGCCGUAAAACGAUGAGUGCUAAGUGUUGGGAGGCUUCCGCCUCUCAGUGCUGCAGCUAACGCAUUAAGCACUCCGCCUGGGGGAGUACGACCGCAAGGUUGAA